UUUCGGAAGUUUGGGGCAGCCGUAUUCAUCACCAUCCCUUUGUGACUUUUACAUCAUCAAUAAAUUUAAAAAUUAACGAAGAGCUUUCCUGUGUUUAGUGGUUAGAGAGAUACUUCUAUAUAUAAAAAGGGACCGCACCAGCGUUUUGGAUAGAAUAAUUGAAGUGGUGGUCAUCGUUAAUUGCGUUUUCAGAUUAUCUGAUUCCACUUGUGACGUUUGGCCCAAGAGUAAGAGGAGGGGUAUUUAAUCGUCGAGAACAUCAAUCGAUCACAACUUUAUCCACCAUUUAUGACAAAAGACACGAGGUGAGAAGUAUUUGCGCCAAAAGUGAUCUAACUUCUGAACGUCAGAUAGAACUUUGACAGAAGGACCGUUGUCUGCCAGAGACAAAGCUAUACUUGAUCUCAGUCAAAUUUAAUUUUUUUUAACAGAAUUUAGUUUAAGAAUGCAGUAUUUAAGCACAGUUUCUAAGGUGAUAUUUCUUUGCAUUCUUUUCGUCUGCGCAACAAACGGUAGACAUUUGGAUAGUCGGAGGAUACGUCGACAAUCUGCCGAUGUAAAAGCCACAGAAUAUUUUGCUCGAUUGGCGCUUGAGAGAAUGCCAUCGGACUGUCUAACAAUUGGCUGUGGACUCGUAGAUUUAGUCGCAAGUGGUAAGAAGAAGAGGACAGGACCAGAUUCCAACCCUUCAAACCGGCAACACUUACUCAAAAUUAUCCAUUUACUGAUUCCAAAGGAUCAAUGAAGAUUAUCAGUUGAAAAGUUCUUCUUAAACGAUACCAACAUAUUUGCCAUCCAUUAUUUCGGAGACAAUGCAGUGUAUAUUGGAGAUGUUAUUUUUGUAGAUAUUUCACAAAGCAUAUUGUAAUUAAAUCUUAACAAAAAUGGUA